CAUGUCACCGUCGAUCCAGAUCGGACGUAGGUCGUCUUCGCGGUGCGGGUGGGGAUGCAGGGGAGGUGUAGGAUGCGGACGAAAAGGGAAGGAGGAGGCCGGCGAGGAAGGCAAGCAACAGCGGGGAAGGAGAAGGUGAGCGAUCCUAGCAUGGGGAAGGGGCCGGGUGAGGCCUCGCGCACCUGCCGGCGGCCGGCAGGUCGACUUGUUGCGCCACCGCGUCGUCACCUCCUCUGCACCAUGAGAGGCGCCACCUCUGCCUCCACACCCCCCCACUGGGCAAGGAGCUCGAGGUGAACAGGCGGUGUGGGAAGGCGAGAGGAACCAGGAGCUCAUCCCUCCUCCCAUGGCUGCCCCGUGGAUCUGGAGGUGCCUGUUGCAGGCGGCUCGAGCGAUGCAAGCCGGCGGCGAACUAGGUCCAUGGACAUUGUCAUAAUGGUCACCUUAUCGCAGUGUAUUAUUUUUGGAUCUCAUAUUCCUCAAGGCGCUCCAUCCUCUGAUUCGAUGUCUGACGAUCUGAGAAAUAAGAGGAGGAAUAAUCCAGCAGAAGAAUUUGGUGAAGAAGAACAAGAAAAGAAUACCUUUAUCCUGAUAGGCAUGGAAACACCGGUUCGCAUUGAGUGCAUCAUCGCUAUAAUCAGCUACUAUGUAUGGUCAGCGGACAUGCUUGCUUAUUCCUGUAACAUAUCAUUACUCUAUCUGCUUAGCCUUUCUAACUUUUAAGAUUUGAUCAAUUCUUUAGAAGUUCGUACAGAUCUAGAAGUAUUUGGUUUUGUUGGUCAAAUCCAUUACCUGUAUGUCCUUAUUUAUUUUAUUGUUCGAACAAGAUAUCAGAUCACCUACAUUCAUUAUUCUUGAUUACAGUCUCAUACUAAAGUAGUCUAAAAUGGUCUGAAUAGUUGUAGUAAUUCAUAAAUAUUUUCAGUGUAGUUCUUAUUUGGUUUCUAGGCAUAGAAUUUACUUCAAAAUUUUUUGAUCUUUAUUUGGUUAGUAAGGCUCUAGAAUAAAACAGACCAAUGAUAUAUAUACAAACAGACACAAUAGGAGUUAACUGGUACCUAGCUUUUGAAACCUCUGAUAUAUACAAAAUAUUAUUUGAGUAGAACAGGAGAGAUGCAAUCUUAUGGAUAUUUCCGCAUUUGUAAGAAACUUUCCAGCUUGUUACUACCGAGAACUCCAGGUUCUGUGAAUUUUUAAGUCCUAGGCGAGCACUCCAGGUUCUGUGAAUUUUUCCUUCACAUUACUGCAGUAUUUCCAUACUUCAAGGAAAUAUAAAUGAUAUGGUUUCUCUCUCCCAGAUUUUUACUACCGAGAAUGGAAUUCAAGAAGAUAUACUUUUGGCGUUGUCUUAUUACCUCUCGUAUCUGAUAGAUAACACAAAGUUAUCAGUUUAGUUGGAAAAAGAAAAAGUCCAGAUCAAUUGUGAGGAUAUGAUCAUUGGCAUACUUACCCCCUGAUGAUGCCUCAUUUCUUCAGAAUUUGAGGCUGUUCUUGAUAUGCCAGAAGUAUGAGUGGGUUGACUUUUCUUGACGUGUAUUUUAUACAACGAGCAACUACCUUGCGCCGUCUUCCAGCCACCAACAACCCCAUGACCCUGCAUCAGGACAAAUUUGAUUUUGGGAAGACAAAGGUCUGACAAGGAUGAGAAUGGGAUACCAGAUUACAACGAUGGAGGCUCGGACAUGGAUCUGCUCAUGCUCUCAGCGGGAAUACUGAAUGUUCUCGAAGCUUUGCCAUACACACGUGCAACUUUUGGCACUUGUGUGGGCUCCAGUUUGUGUCAAUGCAAUUUGCAUCUGUCAGCGGAUUAUGGCGAGCUUGGUUAUUGGCCUACAGGGUGCUCCACCGAUGGUGAAAAUACCUCACAGGAUGAUGUUGGAUAUUAUUCUACAAACUUUGGGCCUACCGGUGGCUGAGUAUCGAAGCAAGAUGUGACAGUGGCAUGAUGUGGAUGACUAUAAUUUCCAUACACCAACAUUAUCUUUUGGAGAUAAAAUAGCCGUAUGGCUAUUACAUGAGACCAUGUCAGAAGACCCUGCUGCUAUGGAAGCAAAAUGAUUCAUGAAAUCUGUGGUGAAAACAGAGAUAAGAUACUACAAUUACAGCAGCAUUGAGAAACCGAGGACACGAAAUGAGUCUGAAAAAUGCUAUGGGCUAAUUUGUUCUAGCUAGGCGAUGUGUGGUAGAAGAUGUACUCACAGGAAGACUAUCGUGCUGUGUAUAAACCACGUUCUACGAUUCACUUCUGUUAUGCAUAUUUACUUUCCAGUUUUAGGACUGAAAUCCAUCCAUUGUAAUGAAUUUGGUUGUAUGGGCAUUACCUAUUUGACUUAGGCUUGCUUCAUCACAUAUAGACUGCUUUUCUUUUCCCCACUACUUGUAUGACCUAAAACUAUCAUGUAUAUGAGGCAAGUUAUUAUCAAUGUUUCACAUUUUCUUACUUGCAA